rnacentral:rRNA from 1 species
GAUGAACGCUAGCGGCAGGCUUAAUACAUGCAAGUCGAGGGGCAACAGGGGUAGCAAUACCUGCUGGCGACCGGCAAACGGGUGCGGAACACGUACAGAACCUUCCUUUAAGCGGGGGAUAGCCCAUAGAAAUGUGGAUUAAUACCCCAUAGUAAUGUUUAAUGGCAUCAUUAGAUAUUUAAAGAUUUAUCACUUAAAGAUGGCUGUGCGGCUGAUUAGGUAGUUGGUCGGGGUAACGGCCCACCAAGCCAUCGAUCAGUAACUGGUGUGAGAGCACGACCAGUCACACGGGCACUGAGACACGGGCCCGACUCCUACGGGAGGCAGCAGUAAGGAAUAUUGGUCAAUGGACGCAAGUCUGAACCAGCCAUGCCGCGUGAAGGAUGAAGGCCCUCUGGGUUGUAAACUUCUUUUAUCU